rnacentral:misc_RNA from 1 species
GAUGAAGAACGUAGCGAAAUGCGAUAAGUAAUGUGAAUUGCAGAAUUCAGUGAAUCAUCGAAUCUUUGAACGCACAUUGCGCCCGCCAGUAUUCUGGCGGGCAUGCCUGUUCGAGCGUCAUUUCAACCAUCAAGCCCCAGGCUUGUGUUGGGGACCUGCGGCUGCCGCAGGCCCUGAAAACCAGUGGCGGGCUCGCUGUCACACCGGGCGUAGUAGAUUUUAUCUCGCUCAGGGCGUGCUGCAGGUUCCGGCCGUUAAAAAGCCUUUUUUACCCAAGGUUGACCUCGGAUCAGGUAGGAAGACCCGCUGAACUUAAGCAUAUCAAUAAGCGGAGGA